rnacentral:rRNA from 1 species
CCUANGGGGGGCAGCAGUAAGGAAUAUUGGGCAAUGGACGCAAGUCUGACCCAGCCAUGCCGCGUGAAGGAUGAAGGUCCUCUGGAUUGUAAACUUCUUUUCUCUGGGGCGAAAACCAGCUAUUCUUAGCUAUUUGACAGUACCAGAGGAAUAAGCACCGGCUAACUCCGUGCCAGCAGCCGCGGUAAUACGGAGGGUGCAAGCGUUAUCCGGAUUCACUGGGUUUAAAGGGUGCGUAGGUGGGCUAGUAAGUCAGUGGUGAAAUCCCCGAGCUUAACUUGGGAACUGCCGUUGAUACUAUUAGUCUUGAAUAUCGUGGAGGUAAGCGGAAUAUGUCAUGUAGCGGUGAAAUGCUUAGAUAUGACAUAGAACACCAAUUGCGAAGGCAGCUUGCUACACGGUCAUUGACACUGAGGCACGAAAGCGUGGGGAGCAAACAGGAUUAGAUACCCGANUANUC